UACGUAGGCAGCAAGCGUUGUUCGGAGUUACUGGGCGUAAGGGGCGCGUAGGCGGCCACGCACGUCCGUUGUGAAAUCGCCCGGCUCAACUGGGCGGGGUCAGCGGAUACGGUGUGGCUCGAGCAAGCUAGGGGGCAAUGGAAUUCCCGGUGUAGUGGUGGAAUGCGUAGAUAUCGGGAGGAACACCAGUGGCGAAGGCGGUUGCCUGGAGCUUUGCUGACGCUGAGGCGCGAAAGCGUGGGGAGCGAUCCGG
rnacentral:rRNA from 1 species